rnacentral:rRNA from 1 species
AUUGAACGCUGGCGGCAGGCCUAACACAUGCAAGUCGAACGAGUGGCGGACGGGUGAGUAAUGUCUGGGAAACUGCCCGAUGGAGGGGGAUAACUACUGGAAACGGUAGCUAAUACCGCAUACCAUCGGAUGUGCCCAGAUGGGAUUAGCUAGUAGGUGGGGUAAAGGCUCACCUAGGCGACGAUCCCUAGCUGGUCUGAGAGGAUGACCAGCCACACUGGAACGGAGAAAGGUGCCAGACUCCUACGGGAGGAAGCAGUGGGGAAUAUUGCACAAGGGGCGAAAGCCUGAUGCAGCCAUGCCGCGGGUAUGAAGAAGGCCUUCGGGUUGUAAAGUACUUUCAGCGGGGAGGCGUUACCCGCAGAAGAAGCACCGGCUAACCCCGUGCCAGCAGCGGCGGUAAUUC